rnacentral:misc_RNA from 1 species
CCCCCCUUCCCUUCCCUCCCCUCCCACCGCUGCGUCUUUGCACACAGGCACGCGCACACAGAUAAGCCCUAAGAAGCGGUGCGUUUCACCUCACACCUCUCUAUCCCUCUCUCUCCGCUUAAUGUCUUCGAUGAUCUUCAUUUGGCUUCGUUUAUACUUCUUCUACCUCCUCUUUUUCCCGCUCGAUAGGUGACUGUUGUAUGCAACGACGGAGGCGCAGUCUUGUCUUUUUUUUUGCUCCCUUGCCCGAUUGCAUCUUUGUGGAAGUGCAUGCGUUGGCUGCCGCGCGCUGUCGCUUAGUUUCGGUAUCCGUGCUCGUAAGCUUCACCUCCAGUACCACAGCAGCGACCACUACUUGUCCUCCCCCUUUUUUCUGUCCUUCGUUUUUCUUUCGCGAUGCCCACGGUGCUUCCUGCGAGGCAGAGCCCAGAGGAAUAGAAGGAGAUACACACGCAGCCCAAAACAAACAACAACAAGCAAACACGAAUUAGAGCGUCGGGGCAAAGUACGACAUGUAGAAUCGUCUCCCACCUCUCCCACCCUCCAGAGAGUGUCAAACCCUCGGGUGAUGCUCAAGGUGCUGUUGGAGACUUGAGGUGCUCGUCAGGAUAGGAGGAGGCGGAGGGGGGCAGCCACUACAGCCCUUUUUUCACAGAUCGACAGUUUUCCUCGAAGGGGCGAUAGUGUCUCGCAUGCAGCCUCGCUUUUUUUUUCUCUCUCUCUGAAUGCGCGUGUGUCUCCCCUGCGACGUCGCUCAGUUUUCACGUCGUUCCCGCCUUCCGGAGAACCCGCAAGACUCAAAGCAGCGGGCGCGAGCUAUCAGAGCGCAGCUGCUGGCUCCCCUCAUUGUGUGUUGGUGUUUUUCGCCAAGACGAGACUCAACGCAUCGUUCAUGGAAAUGUGUGUGGAUGUGUUUGUGCGUCUCGCGAAUUUCUCUCUUCUCCUGCCUCCAUCGUCCUUUCUAUUUGGGCGACUGUUUUAUUGGAG